rnacentral:rRNA from 1 species
GAUGAACGCUAGCGGCAGGCUUAAUACAUGCAAGUCGAGGGGCAGCAUGAUUGUAGCAAUACAAUUGAUGGCGACCGGCAAACGGGUGCGGAACACGUACACAACCUCCCAAUAAGUGGGGAAUAGCCCAGAGAAAUUUGGAUUAAUACCCCGUAACAUAACGAUGUGGCAUCACAUUGUUAUUAUAGAUUUUUCGCUUAGAGAUGGUCAUGCGUAGGAUUAGCUAGUUGGUGAGGUAACGGCUCACCAAGGCGACGAUCCUUAGGGGCUCUGAGAGGAGUAACCCCCACACUGGCACUGAGAUACGGGCCAGACUCCUACGGGAGGCAGCAGUAGGGAAUAUUGGGCAAUGGGCGAGAGCCUGACCCAGCCAUGCCGCGUGCAGGAAGACGGCCCUCUGGGUUGUAAACUGCUUUUGAAUGGGAAGAACGGUAGGCCUGCGGGCUUAAUUGACGGUACCAUUAGAAUAAGCCACGGCUAACUACGUGCCAGCCGCCGCGGUAACAC